AAAAAAACUACUCUUUAACAGAGGAACUUGAAUCCCAGAGCCUCCCCUGACGGAGGUGGCCCUACUGCAGGAAGGGCUUCCACUUCAUCAGCUGUUCUCCUACUUCAAGUCAUUUUUUCCCUUUGGAGGAAGGACUGGAAAGCACACACAGAAGAAUGAGUAAAAAAUAUUCAGGCAAAGAUGUCCAAAGAAUAGCACAAAAUGGCUUGAAACUUCCAAGUCACAGAGCCUCAGGAAGGUAAGCUACAGCUCUUUCUCAAACCAAGCCACUUCAACAAUAGACUGGUUUUCUAAUAACCUAUAAUGAAAAUGUUGCUGUACUUUACAAACUGAAAGUAACAGAAUUGAAUUUGACCACAUGUGGAGUACCUAUACACCUUAUUAUUCACUUAUCUUUAACAUUCCAUUAUUUUUUGACUAGGAACAAAAUUCCCUAUCAUUUGUCAAAAAUAACAGAAAACAAGACAUUCCAUUUUUAGAACUAUCAAGUUCUUCCAAUUUGUUUUCACCUGUUGUUCAACUUCCCAUGAAAUAAAAAUUCGCCUGACUCUGAAAA